AGGACGAACGCUGGCGGCGUGCUUAACACAUGCAAGUCGAGCGGAAAGGCCCCUUCGGGGGUACUCGAGCGGCGAACGGGUGAGUAACACGUGAGUAAUCUGCCCUUGGCUUUGGGAUAAGCCCCGGAAACGGGGUCUAAUACCGGAUACGACGCACUCUCGCAUGGGAUGUGUGUGGAAAGUUUUUUCGGCCAGGGAUGUGCUCGCGGCCUAUCAGCUUGUUGGUGGGGUAAUGGCCUACCAAGGCUUCGACGGGUAGCCGGCCUGAGAGGGUGACCGGCCACACUGGGACUGAGACACGGCCCAGACUCCUACGGGAGGCAGCAGUGGUGAAUAUUGGACAAUGGGCGGAAGCCUGAUCCAGCAACGCCGCGUGAGGGAUGACGGCCUUCGGGUUGUAAACCUCUUUCAGUACCGACGAAGCGCCGAUGAUGGUGGUGACGGUAGGUACAGAAGAAGCACCGGCCAACUACGUG
rnacentral:rRNA from 1 species